ensembl:snRNA U6 U6 spliceosomal RNA
GUGCUCACUUGAGCAGCACAUACACUAAAAUUGGAAUGAUACAGGGAUUCGCAUGGCCCCUGUGCAAGGAUAACAUGCAAAUUCAUAAAGUGUUCCAUAUUUUG